UAAUACAGAGGGUGCAAGCGUUGUUCGGAAUCACUGGGCGUAAAGCGCGCGCAGGCGGAUGGUUGCGUCCGGAGUGAAAUUUCGCCGCUCAACGGCGAAGCUGCUUUGGAUACGGACCGUCUAGGGACCGGUAGAGGCUGGUAGAAUUGCAGGUGUAGCGGUGGAAUGCGUAGAGAUCUGCAA
rnacentral:rRNA from 1 species